rnacentral:tRNA from 1 species
CCUGUAGCUCAGUUGGAUAGAGUACCUGACUUCGAAUCAGAGGGUCAAGAGUUCGAGUCUCUUCAGG